CCUACGGGUGGCAGCAGUGAGGAAUAUUGGUCAAUGGCCGGAAGGCUGAACCAGCCAAGUCGCGUGAGGGACGACUGCCCUAUGGGUUGUAAACAUCUUUUAUAAGGGUAGAAUAAAUGCUACGUGUAGCUUGAUUCCUGUACCUUAUGAAUAAGCAUCGGAUAACUUCGUUCCAGCAGCGGCGCUAAUACGGAGGAGGCGAGCGUUAUCCGGAUUUAUGGGGCUUAAAGUGUGCGUAGGGGGUUUUUUAAGUUAGUGGGUAAACGUCGGGCCUUCACCUUGAUUUGCCAGUAAUACUGUAAGACUCGAGUUCAGACGAGGGAGGCGGAAUAAGUGAAGUAGCGGUGAAAUGCUUAGAGAUA
rnacentral:rRNA from 1 species